UUAAAGCAAGAUCCAGAUCUAGAAUCUGACAAAACUAAAAUCCUACAGAUAAUCUAGGCACAAAAUAACAGGGAAAUCAACCUAUAACAUCAAAUCCGGACCCAAAAUCAAGAAACAUAUCUAUAAUCCAGAAAACUAUCACCAAAUAACACCAAAAUCUUGAACUAUAAAUCAAGAACCACGAAGUAUUCAAAGAACACGAACGAAAGUAGGAAUUGGAGAAAAUGUCAAAUGCGAUGUUUCUGAAGAUAUCACAUGGCAGUAGAUAAUCCCAAAGAAACAGAUGCUUCACUCAUUUUCCAAAUAUUGAUCCCAGGAAACUACAGAGAAGGAACAAAAACUUCAUCUUUUCAUUAGCAUCACCAAGAAUCCACAAAAGGUCACCCUUGGAAGAUCAAAGAAAGCCCUCCUUUAAAAAUUAUUAACCAUAUUAAAAAUUUCCCCAUCAUCAACCAGUCGGACAUACAAGAUGAUCAAAAUGCAAGAAAAUCAAAAAAUCACUUAAAGCAAGAUCCAGAUCUAGAAUCUGUUAAAACUAAAACCCUACAGAUAAUCUAGGCACAAAAUAACAGGGAAAUCAACCUAUAACAUCAAAUCCAGACCCAAAAUCAAGAAACAUAUCUAUAAUCCAGAAAACUAUCACCAAAUAACACCAAAAUCUUGAACUAUAAAUCAAGAACCACGAAGUAUUCAAAGAACACGAACGAAAAUAGGAAUUGGAGAAAAUCACGAAUAUAACGACAAAACCCAACUAGAAAUCAAGAACCAU
rnacentral:lncRNA from 1 species